rnacentral:rRNA from 1 species
UGAAUGUACCGUAAGAAUAAGGAUCGGCUAACUCCGUGCCAGCAGCCGCGGUAAUACGGAGGAUCCAAGCGUUAUCCGGAUUUAUUGGGUUUAAAGGGUGCGUAGGCGGCCUGUUAAGUCAGGGGUGAAAGACGGUGGCUCAACCAUCGCAGUGCCUUUGAUACUGAUGGGCUUGAAUGAACUGGAGGUAGGCGGAAUGAGACAAGUAGCGGUGAAAUGCAUAGAUAUGUCUCAGAACACCGAUUGCGAAGGCAGCUUACUAUAGUUUAAUUGACGCUGAUGCACGAAAGCGUGGGGAUCAAACAGGAUUAGAUACCCUGGUAGUCCACGCCCUAAACGAUGAACACUCGCUGUUGGCGAUACACAGUCAGCGGCUAAGCGAAAG